GUUCCAUAUGCUCCAUGCUUGCCUUGCGUUUAUCUUGAUAGUUUUCUAUAAGAGGAAAGAGAUUGGAUUCCACCCUCAAUCAAGAAAAACAGAGUCUCAAAAGCAUGGACUCAAAAACAUGUAGUUAGAAGCUAAGGGCAAUUUUACAGAACUAGAUUGAAAUCGCCCAAAACUGAAUGAGACCACAGAAUGCUCACCCACUACAGAUCCUUUUCUUAGCAGCCCUCACAACGCCAACGAGGGUAAAAAUGUAAAACAGAUAUUUGCAGACUGCUCACUCAGUACUGCUCUUUUUUUUUUUCCCGCAGCCCUCACAACAUCAAGGAGGCAAAAAGUUUACAGCAUAGAUAUUCGCAGAAUGCUCACU